rnacentral:rRNA from 1 species
CCUACGGGAGGCAGCAGUGAGGAAUAUUGGUCAAUGGGCGCGAGCCUGAACCAGCCAAGUAGCGUGAAGGAUGACUGCCCUACGGGUUGUAAACUUCUUUUAUAAAGGAAUAAAGUGCGGCACGUGUGCCUUUUUGUAUGUACUUUAUGAAUAAGGAUCGGCUAACUCCGUGCCAGCAGCCGCGGUAAUACGGAGGAUCCGAGCGUUAUCCGGAUUUAUUGGGUUUAAAGGGAGCGUAGAGGGGUUGUUAAGUCAGUUGUGAAAGUUUGCGGCUCAACCGUCAAAUUGCAAUUGAUACUGGCAGGCUUGAGUACAGUUGAGGUAGGCGGAAUGCGCGGUGUAGCGGUGAAAUGCUUAGAUAUCACGAAGAACUCCGAUUGCGAAGGCAGCUUACCAAACUGCCACUGACAUUGAGGCUCGAAAGUGCGGGGAUCAAACAGGAUUAGAUACCCCAGUAGUC